GACGAACGCUGGCGGCGUGCUUAAUACAUGCAAGUCGAACGGAAAGGCCCUGCUUUUGUGGGGUGCUCGAGUGGCGAACGGGUGAGUAACACGUGAGUAACCUGCCCUUGACUUUGGGAUAACUUCAGGAAACUGGGGCUAAUACCGGAUAGGAGCUCCUGCUGCAUAGUGGGGGUUGGAAAGUUUCGGCGGUUGGGGAUGGACUCGCGGCUUAUCAGCUUGUUGGUGGGGUAGUGGCUUACCAAGGCUUUGACGGUUAGCCGGCCUGAGAGGGUGACCGGCCACAUGGGGACUGAGAUACGGAGCAGAAUCGAACGGGAGGCAGCAGUGGGGAAAAUUGCACAAGGGGCGGAAGCGUGAUGUAGCAACGCCGCGUGCGGGAUAACGGCCUUCGGGGUGUAAACCGCUUUCGCCUGUGACGAAGCGUGAGUGACGGUAAUGGGUAAAGAAGCACCGGCUAACUACGUG
rnacentral:rRNA from 1 species